rnacentral:lncRNA from 1 species
UUGAGUAGGCGGUGCAGCGGCUCUAGAAGAUGACGCUCCAGGAGUAUAAAUGUUCUGCCCUGCAUCGCUGUUGAAGAUUGGCGGAAACUCCGGUAAGCGCAUGUUCGGAUUUUGAGCGAGCAUUGCGGAGUUGUAUUGUUGGAAAAACGCCAUUUGACGAGCCAUAAACUCUUCAUUCUGACGAGCCAUAAACUCUUCAUUCUCACGAGCCAUCUCCUCUUUCUGAAGAGCCAUCGCUCUCGCGACAGCCUCGUUGACCUGAUC